rnacentral:misc_RNA from 1 species
GAUGAAGAACGCAGCGAAAUGCGAUAAGUAGUGUGAAUUGCAGAAUUCAGUGAAUCAUCGAAUCUUUGAACGCACAUUGCGCCCCAUGGUAUUCCGUGGGGCAUGCCUGUUCGAGCGUCAUUUACCCCCUCGCGCUCCGCUUGGUGUUGGGCGUCUGUCCCGCUUCGCGCGCGGACUCGCCCCAAAGGUAUUGGCAGCGGUCGUGCCAGCUUCUCGCGCAGCACAUUGCGCUUCUCGAGGCACCGGUGGGCCCGCGUCCAUCAAGCUCACCCCCCCAGUUUGACCUCGGAUCAGGUAGGGAUACCCGCUGAACUUAAGCAUAUCAAUAAGCGGAGGA